GUCGAACGCUGGCGGCGUGCUUAACACAUGCAAGUCGAACGGAAAGGCCCUGCUUUUGUGGGGUGCUCGAGUGGCGAACGGGUGAGUAACACGUGAGUAACCUGCCCUUGACUUUGGGAUAACUUCAGGAAACUGGGGCUAAUACCGGAUAGGAGCUCCUGCGGCAUGGUGGGGGUUGGAAAGUUUCGGCGGUUGGGGAUGGACUCGCGGCUUAUCAGCUUGUUGGUGGGGUAGUGGCUUACCAAGGCUUUGACGGGUAGCCGGCCUGAGAGGGUGACCGGCCACAUUGGGACUGAGAUACGGCCCAGACUCCUACGGGAGGCAGCAGUGGGGAAUAUUGCACAAUGGGCGGAAGCCUGAUGCAGCAACGCCGCGUGCGGGAUGACGGCCUUCGGGUUGUAAACCGCUUUCGCCUGUGACGAAGCGUGAGUGACGGUAAUGGGUAAAGAAGCACCGGCUAACUACGUG
rnacentral:rRNA from 1 species